rnacentral:misc_RNA from 1 species
UUUGAUUACCAUGGUACGUGCACAUUGAUGAUUUGAUCUUCCUUAUAUAAGAAGUUAGAUAUACUUUGAAGAUGGCCCUUUUCGGAAUUUAAUUUGUUAUGGUAUUAUGGAUGAAAUGUGCAAGAUUCGAUCUCUCCGACCAUAGGGAGUGAGAAUCACUUUAAAGAUGGCAUUUACGGAUUAGUCUUGCAUGAAGUUAGUGAGAAUAAGAAUGGUUUUGGAAAAUGAGCAAUGAUUAUUGUAAAAGGAUAAUUAUGCACAAAUGAUUUAAAAGAUAUUAUUUAUUUUCGUUGGGUUAUAUUUUUAUGUUUUAAUUUAUUUUGUGAAAUUUAAUAUUUAUUUCCAUGACUUAUGAAAAUAUUUCAAAUGUCCAUGUAUGAUUUGGGAAAUUUUUAAUUAUUGAUCAAUGUCAUUUAAAUAUUUGAUUUGUAUUAUUGAAAAUAUUGGCUUUGAUUUUAUGAAUUAUGAAGAAAUCGACAUUUCCAAUUUUUGUUAUGAUUUGUCAACGUAUAUUUUUUUAUCAUAUUUUAAAUUUAUUAGUUGUGCACCACUGAAUUCACCACUCAGCGAUAGCUUUGUAUGCUGUCGCAGGUAAGAAGAGCAUAGAGCAGUGAUUAAGUUGCUUUGAGGACACUUUCAGAUAAGCUCCAGGAAAGCUGCAGUG